rnacentral:rRNA from 1 species
AUUGAACGCUGGCGGCAGGCCUAACACAUGCAAGUCGAGCGGAUGAAGGGAGCUUGCUCCUGGAUUCAGCGGCGGACGGGUGAGUAAUGCCUAGGAAUCUGCCUGGUAGUGGGGGAUAACGUCCGGAAACGGGCGCUAAUACCGCAUACGUCCUGAGGGAGAAAGUGGGGGAUCUUCGGACCUCACGCUAUCAGAUGAGCCUAGGUCGGAUUAGCUAGUUGGUGGGGUAAAGGCCUACCAAGGCGACGAUCCGUAACUGGUCUGAGAGGAUGAUCAGGCACACUGGAACUGAGCCACGGUCCAGACUCCUACGGGAGGCCGCAGUGGGGAAUAUUGGACGAUGGGCGAAAUCCUGAUCCAGCCGUGCCGCGUGUGUGAAGAAGGUCUUCGGAUUGUAAAGCACUUUUAGUUGGGAGGAAGGGCAGUAAGUUAAUACCUUGCUGUUUUGACGUUACCAACAGAAUAAGCACCGGCUAACUUCGUG